CUGAGUAGCGAAUGAGCAGGUAGCACAAGUCCAACCAAAGCCAUGGGGAGGCUUCUUUAACAGUGGGGGAACUACACAAUCCAUAUGAUAAUAUUUUUUGCAAUCUGCGCAUUGUACUGAGAAGUCAAAUGCGCACCAUUUUUUGCAAACUUUACAGUUACUGGGUUCAUUUAAUAAAGCCCUUCCUUUGCCAUAUUCUGUAACAAUAAAAUCAUAAUUCUUAAAUAAGUCUUCAAGAACAUCAUCAGGAGCGUUUUUGACUUGAGUGACUGGUACAACAUCGAACACCUUAUUAAUGUUCUGGUCAAAUAGCCUAUCGAAAUAAUAACUCUUUGCUUGAGACUUGUAUUCAUCCAAGUUUUCAAUUUGAGAACGGUGCUUAACAGUGCAUUUCUCUUGUACAGAUCCAAUAUUAUAGAUAUCACUGUGCAUGCUAGCAAACAGAAGGCGAGUAUCCGUCAAAUGCCGCUGUAUGUCACGAGGACGGAAAUACCAAUUUAGUCGCACGGAAUCGUAAAGAUUUGUUGAUACACAAGGUCUUGACUUUUCAAAGGAAAUUAUUCUUGCAAUUUGAAAAGGUUCACCAGGAAAGGGAGAGUUUACAAGCACAAAAUCGUUUGGUUGAAUCAAUUCGCCAUUUGGCAAAACGCAGCAAAC